AGUGCCAAGUGAUCCUCCACACACAUUUUAUUUUGUGCUGGUGACUCAUUCCAAUUUAAUGCCAUCCAAACUUAUUUGGAUUUAGAAAGUAUGAAUCAUCUUCCUGAUAAUAUUAUCUGAAGUUAUUGCUAGACGUGCCAAGCUAAAAUGCUAGGGCUAGUCAGAGCACUAACAAGUGACUGUUUUCUCCCUAAAACCCACUGAUCUAAAAUGGAUGCUGGUUUACUUUGUAUUUAGAAGUGAGGUCUGCUUGGGGGUAGGAGCUGGACAUGCAAACUCCGGCUUUGUUCUCCAAGGAUCACAGCUGCUUCCACUGAAGGAAAGUAGAAGACAUCCUCCACCCCUGGAAGUUUUUCUUGUCUCAAGUUUACAGAGUUCUGGGCUUUUUAAUCUCUUCUGAUGUGGACGCCUCCUUCACUCCUGCCUUCCACAAAUUAUAUCCAUUGCCCUUCUUUGAACAUUUAUCUUUAUGCCAUACCCAUGUUUUUUAGACCACAUGAUGAAAAAUGAAUUCAAUAUUCAAGAUACACAGAGAUGGUGGAGUGCUGUGCUGGAGGAAGGAGGGGACAAGAGACACACAGGCAGCCAGGAGAAAAGGUGAGAGGGGAUAACAGAAAGCAGCAGGAGCUGCAGGGAGAGAGAGGAGAAGGAGGAGC